GGGCUGAAGAGAAGAGCAUUUGGGGGGUAACUUUUCAGAGAAGAGAAAAAAUGUGGACCCUGAUCUUUCUAGACAGAAGUUUGGGGGUCGGAGUUGCCAGGAGUGAUACCUCGACUGCUUUGCUCUAGAUUCGUCUUCCAGCAGGCAGUUGAAAAGCAAAAUCAUUUCUCCAGAGAAGUGAAGCGAAAGGAAUGACUAGGAAGUCACACCUGCGGGGAGGAGGAGUGCCAGCACUUAGUGUGGGGGCUGGUGCACCAGAGAGCAGCACAGUCUUCACUAGCUCCGUCUACACCUGGUUAGAGAAGGCUAAAACCUCAGACAAACUUUCCUUGUCUGGGUUCCUUCAGGAGACAAAUGUUGGUCUGAAAGGUCUUUUAAAAAGAUAUUGCAGUGUUAUAAUUAAUACUGGACGCUUCCUUUAUGCCUCCUUGCUCUUUAGCACGAUGAUGUUUAUAAUUUGCUCUGUCAAUGGAAGAACUGCAAGAAAAAAAGAAAGCAGAGGGAUGAAUCCACUAAGGGAAAGUGUGGUAAUUUAA
rnacentral:lncRNA from 1 species